rnacentral:rRNA from 1 species
UACGUAGGGGGCAAGCGUUAUCCGGAAUCAUUGGGCGUAAAGCGCGUGUAGGCGGUUCCGUAAGUCCGCUCUGAAAGCCCAGGGCUCAACCCUGGGAGGCGGGUGGAUACUACGGAACUGGAGUACGGAAGAGGAGAUUGGAAUUCCUGGUGUAGCGGUGAAAUGCGCAGAUAUCGGGAGGAACACCAACAGCGAAGGCAGAUCUCUGGGACGUUACUGACGCUGAGACGCGAAAGCGUGGGGAGCAAACAGG